rnacentral:hammerhead_ribozyme from 1 species
AUCCAGUUGGUGACGAGUCCCAAAUAGGACGAAAUGCGCGUUGUCCUGGAU